AAGCGAUUGCAAAUUUGUUUCUCUUGGGUUUUAAAAUGGUUGCACCGGUUUUCAGGUAACUAAAGCAUGAUGUCUAUUGUGUUUGAAAUGUUGAUGUAAAUUGAAAUGCAUUUGUUGCAACGUUUUCAGGCGAGUAAUGCACGAAUGAAGCUUUAUAUUUCGACCAGAACUGUGUUUAAAUUUAAAAUCGGCACUCAUUUUGUGAUGUUGGCGGUUGCAAGAUGGCGGCAAUGACGUUAUUUCCAGCGAUCGGUAAGCCGGCGGCGAUUACGUCGUUUCCGGUUGGAGGCAAGACGGCGGCGAUGACGUAAUUUCCGGUCGGAGGCAAGAUGGCGGCUGCGUGCUGAAGACGGAGUGCACGAGGUGUUGAAUAAUUCUACAGAACUGGUAAAUGUUUGUGUGUUUGUUGCAGCCACAGCGGCAAUUGUGUUUCAGCAAAAGCUGCAUUGUGUUUCAGCUACAGACUACAACAGGAUUUGAAGAAUCGUUCAAAUAUUCGGCUGCUUUCUCUAUGGAAAUAGUCAUCAAGAGGCAGUGAGCAGCAGAACACAACAAGACGCAACAAGACACAACAAGUAAAAACUUAAUAAAUCUCAUCUUUAAAAUUUAAAUUGUUCUUAUAUUUUAAGAGUCAUUCACAUUUUAAACUUUAAUAAAACCUUUUUGCACUUUUAA